GCGGGUGUAGUUCAGAUGGUAGAACGCUAUCCUUCCAAGUUAGAUGUCAUCGGUUCGAGUCCGAUCAUCCGCU
rfam:Prochlorococcus phage Syn1, complete genome.